rnacentral:tRNA from 1 species
GCACCGAUAGCUCAAUUGGAUAGAGUACCUGGCUUCGGACCAGGUGGUUAGAGGUUCGAGUCCUCCUCGGUGCG